GUGUUGGCUUCAGCAGCACAUAUAUUAAAAUUGGAAAGACAGAGAAGAUUAGCAUGGCCCCUGCACAAGGAUGAUAUGCAAAUUCAUGAAGAGUUCCAUAAUAAA
ensembl:snRNA U6 U6 spliceosomal RNA